CACAGGCUGACCAUGCUGGGGGUUAGUCAAAGCCCAGCAGAACACCUUCUGCCUCCCGGUGGGGUUCUCUGCUCUGCACGCAAGUGACCCGUCACACCUUGGCCAAGGAGCAGAAUUUCAGGAAGAUCCAUGGAAAAUCACUGGACCUGUGUCGUGGACACAUCAGAGCCUAUCUCCACACCUUUUUACUUGAUGCAAGUUUACCAGUUUUUGGACUGGUGCAGGGACCCAGCUUGGCAUCACUACGACCAUCGUGGUUGUGAGCACCAUUUUGCCCACGAGGUGACCCUGCCAUGCAUCAAAAACCCUACAGGACAAACAAAGUCAGAACUCUUAGCAGCUGCCUGCUGAACCAUGAAGAAACUUAAAAUAGCGACGAUCCCCUUCCUCGCUGCCGCCUCUUUCCCCGUAGAACCGGCGAGCCCAUCUGCGGUGUUUACACUCAAGGCCCGGUGAGGCUCAUCUGUAUGGAAAUAAAGGAUAGAAAUAUUCAGAUUGA